UGUGAAAUCCCCGGGCUCAACCUGGGAACUGCAUUUGAUACUGGCAAGCUAGAGUCUCGUAGAGGGGGGUGGAAUUCCAGGUGUAGCGGUGAAAUGCGUAGAUAUCUGGAGGAAUACCGGUGGCGAAGGCGGCCCCCUGGACCAAUACUGACGCUCAGGUGCGAAAGCGUGGGGAGCAAACAGGAUUAGAUACCCUGGUAGUCCACGCUGUAAACGAUGUCGAUUUGGAGGUUGUGCCCUUGAGGCGUGGCUUCCGGAGCUAACGCGUUAAAUCGACCGCCCGGGGAGUACGGCCGCAAGGUUAAAACUCAAAUGAAUUGACGGGGGCCCCCACAAGCGGUGGAGCAGGUGGUUUAAUUCGAUGCAACGCGGAAAACCUUACCUACUCUUGACAUCCUGAGAACUUUCCACAGAUGGAUUG
rnacentral:rRNA from 1 species